rnacentral:misc_RNA from 1 species
AACGGUCUAUACCUGCGGUACCUGCGGAAGGAUCAUUACUGAGUGCGGGUUGCCCUCGGGCACCCAACCUCCCACCCGUGAAUACUAAACACUGUUGCUUCGGCGGAGAUCCCCCCGGGGGUGACCGCCGGAGACCACUGAACUUCUUUGUUUAAGCAUGAUCUCUGAGCUUUAAUAAGCAAAUUGAUUAAAACUUUUAACAACGGAUCUCU